UUGGGUUUAAGGGUCCGUAGGCGGAUCUGUAAGUCAGUGGUGAAAUCUCACAGCUUAACUGUGAAACUGCCAUUGAUACUGCAGGUCUUGAGUGUUAUUGAAGUAGCUGGAAUAAGUAGUGUAGCGGUGAAAUGCAUAGAUAUUACUUAGAACACCAAUUGCGAAGGCAGGUUACUAAGCAACAACUGACGCUGAUGGACGAAAGCGUGGGGAGCGAACAGGAUUAGAUACCCUGGUAGUCCACGCCGUAAACGAUGCUAACUCGUUUUUGGGAUGUAAGUUUCAGAGACUAGGCGAAAGUGAUAAGUUAGCCACCUGGGGAGUACGAACGCAAGUUUGAAACUCAAAGGAAUUGACGGGGGCCCGCACAAGCGGUGGAUUAUGUGGUUUAAUUCGAUGAUACGCGAGGAACCUUACCAAGGCUUAAAUGGGAAAUGACAGGCUUAGAAAUAGGCUUUUCUUCGGACAUUUUUCAAGGUGCUGCAUGGUUGUCGUCAGCUCGUGCCGUGAGGUGUUAGGUUAAGUCCUGCAACGAGCGCAGCCCCUGUCACUAGUUGCCAUCAUUAAGUUGGGGACUCUAGUGAGACUGCCUACGCAAGUAGAGAGGAAGGUGGGGAUGACGUCAAAUCA
rnacentral:rRNA from 1 species